GAUGAACGCUAGCGGCAGGCCUAAUACAUGCAAGCCGAACGGCAGCGGGUCCUUCGGGACGCCGGCGAGUGGCGCACGGGUGCGUAACGCGUAUGUAACUUGCCCACUACAGGAGGAUAGCCCGGGGAAACCCGGAUUAAUACUCCAUGGUACCACAGACUCGCAUGGGUUUAUGGUUAAAGAUUCUAUCGGUAGUGGAUAGACAUGCGUCUGCUUAGCUAGUUGGUAGUGUAAGGGACUACCAAGGCCACGAUCAGUAGGGGUUCUGAGAGGAUGAUCCCCCACACUGGUACUGAGACACGGACCAGACUCCUACGGGAGGCAGCAGUGAGGAAUAUUGGACAAGGGGCGCAAGCCUGAUCCAGCCAUGCCGCGUGCAGGAAGACGCAUCUAUGGUGUGUAAACUGCUUUUGUACGGGAAGAAACACUCCCUCGUGAGGGAGCUUGACGGUACCGUAAGAAUAAGGAUCGGCUAACUCCGUGCCAGCAGCCGCCGUAAGAC
rnacentral:rRNA from 1 species